rnacentral:lncRNA from 1 species
UAGCGGAAAUGGCUCCGAGAGGCUUUGACGCAUGUGUACCUUUUUAGUGGCGGUAUCUCGGCCGGGGAUUUUCGGGCUCCAGUGGAGGUGGCUAUGCUCACCCCAUCUCCCUUGAGAGGCACAGAAGAUGGAGAAACUGAGGCCCAGGCCAAAAAAUAUCUCACUAGAGGGCUCACCGCCAUUUCCUGGAAAAAUUGGGGCUGGGACUCAACGGACGCUCGUCCAGCAGCAGCGCGGAGCUCCGAAGUAAAGGCGCCCGUGACCGAGUGCUUUGUCCUUACAAGCGUGGUGUUCUUGAAUGCUUCCAGGCGCCUUAUGAGGCCCCCGAUGUACAAUCUGUGCUUAACUAAACCCCACUGUCUUCCAGGGUCAGGUUGGCCAUCCGCAGGCGUAGUUGCUAGGAAGGUUUGACAGAUGUCCGCCUGUUGAUUCAGACGUUCCCAGGAUUUGGAGCAAGAAGAGCAAGGAAGGCCAGGCGCGGUGGCUCACGUUUGUAAUCCCAGCACUUUGGGAGGCCGAGGCGGGCGGAUCACGAGGUCAGGAGUUCGAGACCAGCCUGGCCAGCAUGGUGAAACCCCGUCUCUACUAAAAAUACAAAAGAAAAUUAGCCGGGUGUGGUGGCACAUGCCUGUAGUCCCACCUACUUGGGAGGCUGAGGCAGGAGAAUUGUUUGACCUGGCAGGCGGAGGUUGCAGUGAGCCGAGAUUGCGCCACUGCACUCCAGUCUGGGCGACAGAGCGAGACUCUGUCUCAGAAAAAAAAAAGAGCAAGGAGGUGUUGAAAAUGGGUUUCCUGGCUGGGCGUGGUGGCUCACGCUUGUAAUCCCAGCACUUUGGGAAGCUGAGGUGGGCGGAUCACUUGAGGUCAGGAGUUUGAGACCAGCCUGGCCAACAUGGUGAAACACCGUCUCCACUAAAAAUAGAAAAAUUAACUGGGUGUGGUGGAGGGCGCCUGUAAUCCCAGCUAAUCAGGAAGCUGAGACAGGAGGAUCGCUUGAACCCAGGAGGCGGAGGUUGCAGUGAGCCGAGAUUGCUCCAUUGCACUCCAGCCUGGGCGAUAGAGUGAGACUCAGCCUCAAAAAAAAAAAAAAAAAAAAAUUCGCCAGGUGUGGUGGUGUGCGCCUAUAAUCCCAGCUACUCAGGAGGCAGAGGCACAAGAAUGGCUUGAAUCACUUGAACCUGGGAGGCAGAGGUUACAAUGAGCCGAGAUGGCACCACUGCACUCCAGCCUGGGCGACAGAGCGAGACUCCGACUUCCCAUCUUAAAAAAAAAAAAAAAAAAAAAAAAGAAGUGUAAAGAUGUGAUUAUGUGGCAGGGGGUAAGGGUUAAAAAGAAAACAAGAACAAGUUUUCCUCUGCUUAGCCAGCUUACUUCAAGGACAGUUAUAACACUGAAAAGUCGAGGCCAAAGGAAUGGGCUCCAGACAGCCUCCUCCGGAGCAAAGUUGAAAAGAAAAAUUCCUUUACUGUCUCUCCUUUUCUGAACCAUUAAAUAUGACUGUUUGCCAAUGGUUGUAUUUAGUAAGAUUUGUAGACUCUGUUUUUCUUUUGACACAGCUGCAAGGCCAACAGCUGUGCAAAGCCACAAGUUAUGCUAAGUCAGCAGUUAUGCUAUAGAUUACAUGACCUGUGACUGUAUCAUUAACUGCUUUUGUUUUGCUUCUGUAAGUUUGCCUAUAAAAACCACACUCAGUCUUUGUUCAAUGGUCAGCUUUUCAGAUACAAAUCCACUGAGCCGGUGUACAUCUAAAUAAAUCCUCCUGUUUCCCGUGUC